UCAUCAAUUUCUCAACAAUUUCUCAAUUUGCUAUUUAUUCAAUUCAUAUCAUAAUCAUAAAUAAAUAAUCAAAUUUUAUUUAUAAACACAAAUUUACAGAUAAUUACAUUAAUAUAAAAUUACAUUACAGAAGUUUCAAAUAUUCAUAGUGUCCUACCAAAUGCACUGUAGCUGAGAGGUGACACAGGACACUCGCAGAUCUGAUUCUCACCCGGACUGGGGUCUACUGGGAUCACGCCCUGUAUCUCCAGUAUCUCGCCAUUUUUCAUCUUCAGACAUAAUGGCAUUGAGAUCUCCAAUGCAUAACCAAGGAUCCGGGUGAUGAGCUUUUAAUCUUUUUAUGCCCUCCUCAAUCAUGCAAAUCUAUAACCAAAAUUUCCACCUCGCAUCGACCAGUAAUGCCUCACCUAUAAUAUUUGAAACUCGUGCUCAAUGGCUUGAUGAAACUUCUAUGGCAGCCAAACACCUAGAAAUGCCUGAUUUUGAUGGAACCAAUCCGCAAGGUUGGAUUACUAAGCUAGAGCAAUAUUUUACUUUUUACAACACCUGCGAAAAUGUUAAAUGCUAUUUUGUCUGGGAUCACUUUGAGGGAGCCCCUCUCCUCUGUUAUCAUGAGCUGCAAUGUCGACAUCCUUUGCUCACUUGGCCCCAGUUAACAGAAGAGUUAUUGUAGCAUUUUAAUGGAGUGAAUGUUAGCAAUUCAUGUGACAAUCUCAUCAAGGACUAAGGAUUUCUGUUGCACACUGGCUAUGUUAUUCCACGCUAGGUUUGCACAAGGACCCAAGGGGAACGCCACCAUCACAAAUCACCAUAGAGAAAAAUUACAUGAAUAAUUUCACCAUAGGGAAGAAUCAAAAUUAUUUAGAUGUGGAGCAGGGGACAACCUUAUGUUGCUCUCUAUUUGGGGAAUGGCUAAGGAAGAUGAGGGUAAAUGUUGGGUUGUG
rnacentral:misc_RNA from 1 species